rnacentral:rRNA from 2 species
UCCCCUAGUAAUGGCGAAUGAAGCGGGAACGGCUCAAAUUUGAAAUCUGCGUCGCCUGCGACGCCGAAUUGUAGUUUCUAGAAGCACUUUCUAGGCGGAACCGGGGCCGUCCAAGUUGCUUGGAACAGCACGUCAUAGAGGGUGACAACCCCGUCUGUGGCGGAACCGGCCGCUCACGAUGUGCUUUCGACGAGUCGGGUUGUUUGGGAAUGCAGCCCAAAAUGGGUGGUAAACUCCAUCUAAAGCUAAAUAUUGGCACGAGACCGAUAGCGAACAAGUACCGUGAGGGAAAGAUGAAAAGCACUUUGAAAAGAGAGUUAAAAAGUACGUGAAACCGUUAAAGGGGAAACGGAUGGGGUUAGCAAUGCGCUCCGCGAGAUUCAGCCGGCCGGCGAUUCGGGCGGGCGGUUUGCGGAUCUGAAUGGACCGCGGCCGUCCGGUUCGGCACCUCGACCGUCGCACUUCUCGCGAGCGCGCGCCAACGUCGGUUGGCACCGGGUCUCAAGGGCGCGGGCAAGGUAGGUUCGUCCCCUCGGGGAGGAGCUGUUACAGGCCCGCGUCGCAUGGCCCGGGGCCGACCGAGGAGCCGCGGUGCAUGCCUCUCUCUGGCUAGGGUCCCGUCCCUCCGGUCGGUAGUCGACUGCGGUGGACUGCGUGCAGUGCGCCGCGACCGCUGCCGGUCGCGGGGGCGGUGACCUCGUACGAUGCGCCCAGGACGUUGGCGGUCAAAUGGCCUCAUUCGACCCGUCUUGAAACACGGACCAAGGAGUCUAACAUGUGCGCGAGUCUUCGAGUGACGGAAACUCGCGGGCGCAAUGAAAGUGAAGGCGGCCUCGUGCCGCCGAGGUGAGAGCCCGUCCCCCGGGGCGGGUGCAUCAUCGACCGACCUAUUCCGCUCUCGGGAAGGUUUGAGUAAGA